rnacentral:rRNA from 1 species
AGAAGAAACUCCACGAGCACCGCACGUCCGAGCGAGGACUCGAACUCGGGUGGGCUGGCAGCAACCUUAGCUGCCCAGCCAACGGGUCGACGCCCCGUCCUCGCCGCCAAGAAGGAUAACAACACAGAGAUGGAGAAGGGGAAGGAGGAGAGCAAAGCGAGACAACCAAACGCUGGCAACGGCCUUGACCUGGACAAGUACUCGUGGUCGCAGCAGCUACCGGAGGUGAACCUCUCCAUCCCCGUCCCCGAAGGAACCAAGGCGAGGUUCGUCCUAUGCGAGAUCAAGAAGGACCAUCUCAAGGUCGGGCUCAAGGGCCAGCCUCUCAUCAUCGACGGCGACCUCCACAAACCGGUCAAGGUCGAGGACUGCUUCUGGAGCAUCGAGGACGGGAGGUCGCUGUCCAUAGUCCAUACUGCUCAUGAAAGCGAGUGGUGGAAAUCCCUGAUCAAGGGCGAUCCGGAGAUCGACACCCAGCGUGCCAUACCAGAGAGCAGCAGGCUCUCGGAUCUGGACCCAGAGACGAGGCAGACCGUGGAGAAGAUGAUGUUCGACCAGCGCCAGAAGCAGAUGGGCCUGCCCACCAGCGAGGAGAUGCAGAACCAGGACAUGCUCAAGAAACUCAAGUCCUAGUACCCGGACAUGGACUUCUCCGGGAUGAAGAUGCCUUGUUGA